rnacentral:misc_RNA from 1 species
GAUCAUUAAAAAUGCGGGGGGGCUCUCUUUGGGGAGCUUUCUCUUCUUUUUAUCUUGUGCACUGUUUUUAUGGGUGGGCCUCCCUUUGGGGGGGUUCAUCCGCCCUGGGCGUGGCUAUUUUUUCCCUCGGGAGAAUCUUGGCCUGCCCGGUGCUCUUUCCUAACGGACUGGGCAACAUUUUAACUAUUCUGACUGAACCUAACAAGAAAAUUGUUAAUCAUAAACAACUUUCAGCAAUGGAUCUCUCGGCUUUCGUAUCGAUGAAGAACGCAGCAAAUCRCGAUAUGUAKUGUGAUCUGCCCAUAGUGAAUCAUCAAAUCUUUGAACGCAUCUUGCACCCCUGGGUAUUCCUGGGGGUACGCCUGUUUCAGUAUCAUUUAUACUUCUCUCCCCCGAAAGGGUGUGCUGGGAAAAAUCACUACUGGCCCCCGAGGAUAUUUUCUCUGGCGGCUUAAAUGCUCUGGCAUCCCUCUUUAGAGUUGCUUCUUACCCUUUGGUAGUUUAUUCUGCUAAAAGCACCGAGAAACUCUAUAGAGGUGCCCCUGCUAACUUAUAUCUCUUGAUCUGAAAUCAGGCGGGAU